UCCCACCGUCCACUUUCUUUUGGAGUAUCUAGUUGUUGCUUGGGUGGAGAGAUAAGUCUUUCUAGUGUUACCACACAAGAAAAGAAGAUCUCUCUAGGAUCUGUUGACUCAGUUUUGGGGUUCUUAUUUGUGCUUCUAUUAUCAGUAACUCUUGGAAAAGGAGCAAUGUUGGACAUGGUGUAGCCUCAGUCUUGGGAUUAGUUCUUGUUAGUAUUGUUGUUGUCAUUGAUAUGUUGCUCUCAUGAUCAGUACUGAUGUAGACUUGUUUCUGCCUAAUAAAAACACAUGACAUGUAGGCACUUCAUCCACGCUUUGUGAUGUGCUCAUAGGCCUUUUUCUACCUAAACAAACCAUAUGAAAUGUAGGCACUUCAUCCAAAAUCGAUCAAAGUUUAAACAUAGUACAACCAAAAAAUGAUUCAGUUGAUAUAAUUGGACAGUGUGGACUACUACCACUUUUGUGCGAUUACUGUUAUUUUUGUUCCCUGCAGUUAUUGUCUGAUCUAGUCCCUAAUAGAACGCGCCGAAGAAACUUUGAAAAAUUAUCAUAAGACUUUUUCUGUCAAUGUGACAUAGUGAGCCGCAAAAGUUCCUUUAAUCAAGUUUCCUUAAAAAAUCACACGGAUCUUUAUGUGCAUGAUACUGGGCAAUUUGUGAGAUCCAAAAAGCAUGAAUUUGCUUUUCAUUCUUUGUAAUAUUGGGUAAGUUUUGCAGAUCUAUACAUUGUUCCUCUUAAUUUGCUUUUGUUUUGUUCUGUUUCUGCUUUUAGUAUGCUUGUCUGGAUCUCUAUUCCUGCUGUGUCUGUAGCAAAGCAAGAGGUAUUGGUCAUAGCUAAUUAUGUCUUGUUUCAUAUUAGGGUCCAUUGGGUAUUGUGCGUCAUUGAUUUGUCGUCUUCAACAGUGUACUACAUGGAUUCAAUUAAUAAGGAAGUCCACUCACCCCUUAAACUCUUGAUUAAGACGCAAGUUUUUGGACUUUGAGCAUUAUUGUUUGAGCCCUUUUCUUAAUCAUAUUAUGUUGAUAGUACUUACAAGUAUUGCCUCCUUGAAGUGCAUUCAAAAUCUAUGACAGUAGUAAGGGAGUACGGAGUAGUCGAAUUAUUAAUUGAAAAAAAAUCGAGGUAUCAAUGCAAUCUCUCUCUUUUUGGGUUUUUUUGGCAUUGUUUUUAUGUUUUUUCUGAUUGAAAUGAUCGUAUUUGUCUACAGUGCCCUAGACAACCUACAAACGUGGAAUGUGAGUUCUAUGUAAUGAAAUACAUGAAAGAUUUGAUUAGAGAUGAGAGGAUCUUAAGCAGAGGAAAUUUCAAUGGAAAAAAAACUUACACGAAAGCCGAAAUUGAUGAAGUGCGAGCCGAGUGGAUAAAGUCCAUCAUGAACAAAGUAUAAUCAGCUUCUAUGUGCAUUGGAGUUCUUGAUACUGCUACCUUUUGUUUUCUGGUGGAUUUAGGCAUGCUCUGAGAAUGACGAAGUGCUUGAAAUUGGCUUUAGAGAAUGAUGAGUGCUUGAAAUUGGCUUCAGAGAAUGACGAAGUGCUUGAAAUUGGCUUCAAAGAAUGAAGAAUUCAUUGUAGCUUAGGACAUAACUCCAUGCUUGUGGUUCAAUUAGUUUUCUUUGUCCUUUUUAUUAUUGAAGCUUUUGUUCUGCAUUUUUUAUGCAUUUUCAGAAAUUUGAUUGAUGUUAGAUUAAUUCAAAGUAGGCUUUCC